rnacentral:rRNA from 1 species
CUACGGAGGGUGCAAGCGUUACUCGGAAUCACUGGGCGUAAAGCGCGCGCAGGCGGCUAUUUAAGUUGGAUGUGAAAGCCUACGGCUCAACCGUAGAACUGCAUCCAAAACUAUUUGGCUAGAGUGUGGGAGAGGAAGAUGGAAUUAGUUGUGUAGGGGUAAAAUCCGUAGAGAUAACUAGGAAUACCAAAAGCGAAGGCAAUCUUCUGGAACACUACUGACGCUGAGGCGCGAAAGCGUGGGGAGCAAACGGGAUUAGAAACCCUAGUAGUCC